UAGGGAAUCUUCGGCAAUGGACGAAAGUCUGACCGAGCAACGCCGCGUGGGUGAAGAAGGUUUUCGGAUCGUAAAACUCUGUUGGUAGAGAAGAACGUUGGUGAGAGUGGAAAGCUCAUCAAGUGACGGUAACUACCCAGAAAGGGACGGCUAACUACGUGCCAA
rnacentral:rRNA from 1 species